rnacentral:rRNA from 1 species
UACGAAGGGGGCUAGCGUUGUUCGGAAUUACUGGGCGUAAAGCGCGUGUAGGCGGGCUUUUAAGUCAGGGGUGAAAUGCCGAGGCUCAACCUCGGAACUGCCUUUGAUACUGGAAGUCUUGAGUCCGGGAGAGGUGAGUGGAACUGCGAGUGUAGAGGUGAAAUUCGUAGAUAUUCGCAAGAACACCAGUGGCGAAGGCGGCUCACUGGCCCGGAACUGACGCUGAGACGCGAAAGCGUGGGGAGCAAACAGGG